rnacentral:sRNA from 1 species
GGAUCUGAGGGUGAUCUGGCUUGAACACCUGUCACCAAAUUGGUUGUUGGGUUUGAUCCUGUAUGGUGGACUGAGUGGUCUUCCUCCCCCAUUGCUCCUCUAGCAUCCUUCCUAAAUUUUCAUGCUGAGUCUAAGGUCCCAACAAGUGGAAAACUCUUCUCCCGUCAAAGAUAUUCAAUUAUGAAGUAUCUCUUUGAGACAAAACUUUCUGCAUAAUCCGUAGGGACCAAUUUUAUGGUUCUUAAAAUAGUUCUCUCUAAUG